UUUAUGUGGAUGUUUUGAUAUUUUCAGGAAAGGAUGGCAGGUGGUGCCGCGGUGAACACUCCCAACACAUGCAGGAGGAAAGAAAGGAUGGCAGGUGGUGCCGCGGUGAACACUCCCAACACAUGCAGGAGGAAAAGCCAAGAAGAAAUAUAAUACAGACAAGAGACAAUGCAUGAAGACAGAUGAGGGAUCUCCAAACAAGAAGAUGGAUAAUGUGAACACAGCUACUGUGCUCACCAUCAUUUCUCAAGAGUUAGACUCUUCAGUAUUCUGGGAACUGACAGACCAGGAAGCUAUGUUCCAAGUACUGUGGUACUGCAUGUCCCUCCCACAAUCAGGCCACAAACUCGCAACACCAGUUUGUGAUCACCAUCUCUCAAGCAUCUGUCACAUCCUCUGCCUCUUGAUCAGCUGAGACACCAUCUGGAUCACAAUCAAUUGAGAUACCUUUUGCCUCUGGCAUUAACAGGCACCAAAAUUUUAAAUCCCUGGCUUUGAGAUGUCCUAUCUAAAGGAUAUUUUGCUUGUCAUUUCAGAGCAAGUGCUAUGAAGACACAAUGGAGUUGGAUGAACAUGAACAUGAGAUGGAUUUAGGAAAUUUAAAAUGAACAAGAACGCCUACUAAUUGAAAAGAUACAGGAUGCGAAAGUAGAAUUGCUGUGUUUUAACUGGAAAAAUCCAGAUAGAACUAGAUUUUCUGCAUCCACACUAUUGAUUCAGGAUUUUCAGUUUACACUUAGGCUUCAAAGAAUGCAGAUCCCAAACAGAACAAAUGGUUAUGAGUUGCCUGAGGAGUGCAGAAGGAAGGUGAUAGUUUACUCCAUCUGAACUGGGAUGACCAACAAUGUCAUCAUAGUUGAAGUUGCCACUGAGGACAGUCCAGAGAAUUAGGAAGCUGUUAGUAGAUCCUGACCUUGAUGUGGAGGUCAUGACUACCAGAGACAUGCAAUUGAGGAGUGAAGAGUGGCAAUUUAAUUUUGUAUGUGCAGCAACUCAAUGACACUGAUCUCUCCAUCUCAAUCCUUGAAAUUUCUGUGUUUGUGCCAUUCUGAAAGCAUUCUGACUGAAGAUCCUUGCAAUAACUCCACAAAAUGUGGAUGGGACUGCUCACUGAAAUGACAAAAACAAAUCUUGUAAACAGCAAGUUUUUUUUUUUUUCUUUUCUGAUGAGAAAAUCUUUUGCCAGGAUGAGUGCACAACAAGCAGAGCAAUAGAUCAAUAGGCUAUGUGUCCUAAAGAUGUGCCCAGAGUCAUGAAAACAAAGUUUUCUGUUCACAUUGUGGUCUUUGGUGUUGUCAGCAGUGACAGGCAUGUUAUGCCACACACAUCAUUAAAGAAGGCCUGAGAGUGAACCAAAAUAGAACCAAAAAAGAACCAAGAGGUUCUAGCAACCAUAAUCAAGCCUUGGAAGUUGCUGCAGAAGACAAUACAUGUUCUAGCAAGAUUCUGCAUCAGCACACAAGGCCAGGAAAAAUCAGAAGUGGCUUGAGGAUAAUUUUUUUUUUUACCAUGUUACCCCAGGUAUGUUGCCUCCAAACUAACCUGACUACAAUCCCUUUGACUAUUUUGUAUGGAGGAGCAGUUAAAAGGAUCACUAAAAAGACUACCCAUAACAAUGAAGCUGAGCUGAGGUAGAGAAUCUGCCAGGCAUUUCAAAAUUUGUCUCCUGGUAUUGUAAAAUUCUUAUCCUCUCAAUUUUGAGAUGAUCUGAUUGUGAUGAUGUGGUUGAUGCUGAAAGAGGCUUUAUUGAAUAAAUUCUGUCAAAAAAAACACUACUUUGCUCUUGUUUCUUGAAUUUUCAAUAAAUGUUUUAAAAUAGAAAA